GACGAACGCUGGCGGCGUGCUUAACACAUGCAAGUCGAACGAUGAACCCGGAGCUUGCUCUGGGGGAUUAGUGGCGAACGGGUGAGUAACACGUGAGUAACCUGCCCUGGACUCUGGGAUAAGCGUUGGAAACGACGUCUAAUACCGGAUAGGACCUUGGAUCGCAUGAUCUGGGGUGGAAAGUUUUUUCGGUCUGGGAUGGACUCGCGGCCUAUCAGCUUGUUGGUGAGGUAAUGGCUCACCAAGGCGUCGACGGGUAGCCGGCCUGAGAGGGUGACCGGCCACACUGGGACUGAGACACGGCCCAGACUGCUACGGGAGGCAGCAGUGGGGAAUAUUGCACAAGGGGCGAAAGCCUGAUGCAGCAACGCCGCGUGCGGGAUGACGGCCUUCGGGUUGUAAACCGCUUUUAGUAGGGAAGAAGGGCUUCGGCUUGACGGUACCUGCAGAAAAAGGACCGGCUAACUACGUG
rnacentral:rRNA from 1 species